rnacentral:rRNA from 1 species
AAUCGAACCCGGAGAUAGCUGGUUCUCCUCGAAAUAGCUUUAGGGCUAGCCUCAUACAAGUCUUGCGGAGGUAGAGCACUGAAUUUCCUAGGGGGCGUCAAAGCUUACCGAAGAAUAUCAAACUCCGAAUGCCGUGUAGAUGUUGUAUGGGAGUCAGACUGUACGAGAUAAGUUGGACAGUCAAAAGGGAAAGAGCCCAGACCGCCGGCUAAGGUCCCAAAGUGGGUGUUAAGUGGAAAAGGAUGUGGGAUCUCUAAGACAACCAGGAUGUUGGCUCAGAAGCAGCCAUUCAUUAAAAGAGUGCGUAACAGCUCACUGGUCGAGAGGUCCUGCGCCGAAAAUGUCCGGGGCUGAAACACGACACCGAAGCUUAGGAAUCACAUAGUGAUUGGUAGAGGAGCAUUCUUAAAACCGACGAAGCUGUACCGGAAGGAGCAGUGGAGGGAUAAGAAGAGAGAAUGCCGGAAUGAGUAGCGAGAGAGAGGUGAGAAUCCUCUCGGCCGAAUAUCCAAGGUUUCCAGAGUAAAGCUGAUCUGCUCUGGGUAAGUCGGGGCCUAAGGAGAGGCAGAGAUGCGUAUCCGAUGGACAGCAGGUUUAAGAUUCCUGCACCCCUUGUUAUCAGAACUGCGGGGACACGGGAAGGGAAGCAGAGCCGGGAAUGGAAAGCCCGGUGCAAGCGAAGUAGUCGCAGGGUUGGAAAAUCCGCCCUGCAUAAGACGAAGGCGUGAUGCGGAGCGAAAUGAAGUAGUGAAGCUGCGGCCCCUUCCUGUCGAGAAAAGCCGCUAUCGUGUAGCAAGGGCCCGUACCGUAAACCGACACAGGUGGAUGAGGAGAGGAUCCUAAGGCCGGCGGGAGAAGUGUUGUUAAGGAACUCGGCAAAAUGACUCCGUAACUUCGGGAGAAGGAGUGCUGCGCAAGCAGCCGCAGAGAAAUGGCCCAAGCAACUGUUUAGCAAAAACACAGGUCUAUGCGAAACCGAAAGGUGAGGUAUAUGGGCUGACGCCUGCCCGGUGCUGGAAGGUUAAGGGGAGAGCUUAGCGCGAGCGAAGGUUUGAACUUAAGCCCCAGUAAACGGCGGCCGUAACUAUAACGGUCCUAAGGUAGCGAAAUUCCUUGUCGGGUAAGUUCCGACCCGCACGAAAGGCGUAAUGAUUUGGGCACUGUCUCAACAACACACCCGGUGAAAUUGAAAUACCAGUGAAGAUGCUGGUUACCCGCGCCAGGACGGAAAGACCCCAUGGAGCUUUACUCCAGCCUGAUACUGGGAUUCGGUAUUGCAUGUACAGGAUAGGUGGGAGGCUAAGAACUCAUGGCGCCAGCCGUGAGGGAGCCGAUGUUGGGAUACCACCCCUGCAGUACUGGGUUUCUAACCUGCGCCCGUGACCCGGGCGGGGGACAAUGUCAGGCGGGGAGUUUGACUGGGGCGGUCGCCUCCGAAAGGGUAUCGGAGGCGCUCAAAGGUUCCCUCAGAAUGGU